rnacentral:rRNA from 1 species
UGGGGAUUAUUGCACAAUGGGCGCAAGCCUGAUGCAGCCAUGCCGCGUGUAUGAAGAAGGCCUUCGGGUUGUAAAGUACUUUUAGUCGGGAGGAAGGUGGUAAGGUUAAUAACCUUAUCAAUUGACGUUACCGACAGAAGAAGCACCGGCUAACUCCGUGCCAGCAGCCGCGGUAAUACGGAGGGUGCAAGUGUUAAUCGGAAUUACUGGGCGUAAAGCGCACGCAGGCGGUUGAUUGAGUCAGAUGUGAAAUCCCCGGGCUUAACCCGGGAAUUGCAUCUGAUACUGGUCAGCUAGAGUCUUGUAGAGGGGGGUAGAAUUCCAUGUGUGGCGGUGAAAUGCGUAGAGAUGUGGAGGAAUACCGGUGGCGAAGGCGGCCCCCUGGACAAAGACUGACGCUCAGGUGCGAAAGAGUGGGGAGCAAACAGG